rnacentral:rRNA from 1 species
GAAUAUUGUACAAUGGGGGCAACCCUGAUCCAGCCAUCCCGCGUGUGUUAUGAAGGCUUUUUUUCUGUAACGCACUUUAAGCAGUGAAGGAGACUCCGUGGAUAAUACCCAUCCACGAUGACAUUAGCUGCAGAAUGCGCACCGGCUAACUCUGCGCCCGGAGCCGCGGUAAUACAGAGGGUGCAAGCGUUAAUCGGAAUUACUGGGCGUAAAGCGGGCGUAGGUGGCUUGAUAAGUCAGAGGUGAAAUCCCCGGGCUUAACCUGGGAACUGCAUCUGAUACUGUUAGGCUAGAAUAGGUGAGAGGAAGGUAGAAUUCCAGGUGUAGCGGUGAAAUGCGUAGAGAUCUGGAGGAAUACCGAUGGCGAAGGCAGCCUUCUGGCAUCAUAUUGACACUGAGGUUCGAAAGCGUGGGUAGCAAAC